AGCAGCCGCGGUAAUUCCAGCUCCAAUAGCGUAUAUUAAAGUUGUUGCAGUUAAAAAGCUCGUAGUUGAAUUUCGGAAUCUGUCCGUCGGUCGGGCUUCACUGUCCGUACUGGUGUGAUGGGUUUCUACCUUCUGAAUAACCGGCAUGUCAUUAAUUUGGUGCGCCGGGGAAGCAGAACUAUUACCUUGAAAAAAUUAGAGUGCUUAAAGCAGCUAUCGCCUGAAUAGAUUAGCAUGGAAUAAUAAAAUAGGACGGCAUGGUUCUAUUUUGUUGGUUUCUAGGAUCACCGUAAUGAUUAAUAGGGAUAGUUGGGGGCAUUAGUAUUCAAUUGUCAGAGGUGAAAUUCUUGGAUUUAUUGAAGACUAACUUCUGCGAAAGCAUUUGCCAAGGAUGUUUUCAUUAAUCAAGAACGAAAGUUAGGGGAUCGAAGACGAUCAGAUACCGUCGCAGUCUUAACCAUAAACUAUGCCGACUAGGGAUCGGACGAUGUUAAUUUUUUAAUGACUCG
rnacentral:rRNA from 1 species